rnacentral:misc_RNA from 1 species
AACAUCGCGCACCUGCGGGAACCUGCGGAGGGAUCAUUACAGAGUUGCAAAACUCCCCAAACCAUUGUGAACGUUACCUAAACCGUUGCUUCGGCGGGCGGCCCGGGUCCUUCCCGGCGCCCCUCGGCCCUCGCGGGCGCCCGCCGGAGGUAAACCAAACUAUUGCAUUGUAUGGCCUCUCUGAGUCUUCUGUACUGAAUAAGUCAAAACUUUCAACAACGGAUCUCAGAUCGGAAGAGC